GUAGGCAGAAUUCAUCGAACCCGACCAGACCAUCAGAGUCGCGAUCCAGAAGUUCUAGCAUCACGUCUACCGUCUCAGGGUCAUGUGGUCUCUAUGAAAAAAGUUGAAAAAAAUUGUUUUACAAUGUACUAUUUACAGCACAUAGAAUCUUUUUCUACUCCCGAACAUCUACAAUGGAAAAAUGAAGAAUCAGAGAACAUAUUGAUGCCCCUGGAGAAAAAGAGCUGGUGUAAUGCAUUACUGUAGAUAUAAUCAUCCUGCUCAGCCCAAGUUACUAAUGAUUAUGACACCUAAAUGCUUGAGUCUGCUUCUGCUAGAAGCACAUUAAGAUGUCUUGCUUCUGCCCAAAAUGCGUGCCAUAAAGAGAUUGAAAACUGAAGCUUCAUACUCGAGAUGCUUUGGAUUCGGGAUGUGAAGGUGCUGGCCUUCCAAAUGUGGAAAGAGGACAGAAGAUGACCCAAGUGCUUGGGCCCCUGCCAUACUUGUGGGAUACCCAGAUGGAGUUCCAGGCUCCUGGCUUCGGCCUGGCCCAGCCAUGGUCAUUGCAGCCAUUUGGAGAGUGGACCACUGGAUGGAAGAUCUCUCUCUGUCUCUCCCUCUCUCUCUUUGUAACUUUGCCUUUAAAAUAAAUAAAUAUUUCUUAAAAAUGAGUGAAUUGCAUUUAUAUUUCAUAUACUAGACCACAUAUACACACCAUGGCCAGAAAGUAGCCUUGUGAGAGUUCAGAAAUCCUAAUUUGAUAGGAAGAUUAGAAUGAGAAGAGAUAGUAAAAGAACACUAGAGAGAAGUCUCAAUGUACUGUAGGUUUGGGGAAGGCACACAAUUUCAUUUUUAAAAUCUUGC